UGGAAAUAUGAUGGUUGGAACUUCUUUUUGGUAUAUAUAUAUUAUAUAGGCAUAGCCAAAGAACAUGCGAAGUGCGCGAACUACAUCCUUCUUUUUUGUAUAUGUACUUGUGAAGGAAAAACGCAUUUAUCUUUUGGGGCUUCUACAGUUUAUAGAAUGAUAUGUCUGUCAACUUUUGUGGUUAUAAUACGACAGACUAUAGCCAUUAAGGCAGGUACUGAAUCUACUGAUGGAGCAGUUAUCGGCUAAAAACAUGUCUGCCAACUUUUGUAUUUAAUAUUUAUCAUAUAUAAUGGCAGAUUCUUACUUAUAGCUAGGAAAGUAACUUUGAUUUUCCUAAUCUAAGGAUUCUAAGCUCAAGUUUACUCUACUUUUGUAUGUAUGUUAAAGAUGGUCACUUGGGAAGUCAUAUAACUGAUAAUCUGAUAUAAGUUUGUGUUUUUACCCGAUGGGUACCCGGACCCGGUGAUUACCCGUGACCUUUACCGGGUCCGGUUCUGGGCCAACACAUUAUGGAACCGGCCCCGGAACCGCUAGGACCCGGAACCGACGCUGAUAUGUCGGGUCCGGUUCUGGGCCAUGUACUACCCGGGAGGACCCGGACCCGUUGACAGCCCUGGUUGGGACCUUGUAUCCGUUUCUGCGCUAUUUUGGAUAUGGCCUGCAGUGGAAAGAAGCAAUUGUUCUUGUUUGGUCAGGCUUAAGAGGUGCUGUGGCAUUGUCUAUGUCAUUAUCAGUGAAGCGUGCAAGCGACAGCUCAACCUUUUUAAAUCGUGAAACAGGAACUCUGUUUCUUUUCUUUACCGGUGGAAUUGUAUUCCUGACGCUCAUUAUCAAUGGAUCGACGACACAAUUCCUUUGACGUUCUCUGGGUUUGGAUAAGCUAUCAGCUGCGAAGAAACGCAUCUUGGACUACACAAGGUACGAAAUGAUGAAUAAGGCACUGGAAGCAUUUGGUGAUCUUGGAGAUGAUGAAGAACUAGGUCCUUCUGAAUGGCCCACGGUGCAAAAAUAUCUUGCUUGUUUGAAUAACCUGGAAGAAGAUCAGGUCAUCCUCACACUCAAUCCCAGAAUGAGAUUAACAUCGACGCUAUGAAUAUAGAAGACACCCGAGUACGCCUCUUAAAUGGU